AUCAAGAUUACUAAAAUCAUUUGGAUUUCAGGUAACACAGGCACGUAGCAAAUAGUUCAACAGACAUGCCUGGACAUAAAAGGUUCAUCCACAGAACGAAGGUAGCAAAAUUUGACGGCGCAAACAGAUACUGUCGAGGUAGGCAUAGGACAGGUUCCACGGAACAUAACAACACACAAGCUUAACGGUAGCGGCGGAGGGACACGGUCUGGUUCCUCUUCCAGGUGGCUCUCCUUGAGGGCCUGUUCUUGUGGUGGCGGUGACCCUUGCCACGCAGACCACGGAAUUUCUUUCCUGCAGAGGUGAGACCACGCAGCUCACGGUGCUUGUGCACAGGCUUGCAGAGCCAGUUGAUCCUUGGAUCAUUGCGGACAGCGCUGUGAGCAACAUCAACAAGGAUGACCUCAAAGUACUUGUAGGUGGAGUCCUACAUCACAAGAAACGGGCAAGCAGAGAAAUUGAUAAUAUUAGAAUAAAAAUUCUCAGUCAUUUCAACAAAUUUCAGCAGUGACCAAAUGUUAUACCUCAUUCACCCAGUAGGAGUUGAGUACACGAAGGCCACCAAGCCUGCGCCCAGCUCUUUCCUCCGCAACAGACCUCUUGUUCCUCUGGAACUUAAGUUGGGUAAUACCCUGGUGCUUGGGCUUGCCAUAAACAAUACCCUU
rnacentral:lncRNA from 1 species